rnacentral:rRNA from 1 species
UACAGAGGGGGCAAGCGUUGUUCGGAAUUACUGGGCGUAAAGGGCUCGUAGGUGGCCAACUAAGUCAGACGUGAAAUCCCCAGGCUUAACCUGGGAACUGCGUCUGAUACUGGAUGGCUUGAAUUCGGGAGAGGGAUGCAGAAUUCCAGGUGUAGCGGUGAAAUGCGUAGAUAUCUGGAGGAAUACCGGUGGCGAAGGCGGCAUCCUGGACCGAGAUUGACACUGAUGAGCGAAAGCCAGGGGAGCAAACGGG